UUAAACCUUCCGGAAAUUGACUCUUCGAAAUCGGGGAUGCCAUCCCCGCCGGCGGCCCCUCCCCGGGAUGGUUCCAUACUAAAAAAGAAUGAAAAAACGCCAUACGCCGAACCCUAAACACUGAUUUCCUCGCUUCUUUCUAAUCUAUUCUCCUUCAACCACAAAACCCCUUCCGUCUACACUAAAUUUUCUCUCUUCGCCGUCGCUGCUUCCAGAAUAAUCGCUCCCCUCUCUCUGGCUAUACCAUUGAAGGAGAUAUAGUUGGACAAAUGAUUGAAACAAGUCUAUUGGAUUGGGGAAUUGAGAAGAGCAUAGACUUGGAGGCGUAUAAUUCUAAAGCAGCAACACCAACCAAAGCAAAGAAAAUGGUGUACACAUAAAUUUUCCUCUCUCCUCUCCUUCUAAAUGCUGAAUUUGAGUUUAUUAUGAGUUCCUCCUCUAAGUGGAAUCCAUUGUUGGAUUGAUCAUCACCUGCCUCCAUUAUUGAUUGAUUUAUAUUGUUGUCAGCAGUUUCUCUUUUGAUUGUCCAGAUUUGUCGAUGAAGUUGCGCAUUUGUUUGGAGAAUGAGAUUGAGCUGGUGCUCUGUUCGGUAGAGCAUGAGCGCUGUAUCGACAAAAAGGUACAUGUAAACGAGGCUGCAUAAACAGCUUAGAGAAAGAAUCACCCAAAAGUUGCCAUUGUUGCAACUGAGGGAGGAAGGAGCAUUAGUUUUCUGGGAGAUGAAGAAGAAGAAGACACGUUCCAAAAUUAAAUAAGCCCCAACGAUGGUGUGUAAUUUGGUGUCGUGGAGAUUUCUACGUUGGUCAGUCCAUAGACAAAGAACCCUUAUAUAUAUAUUAUGUGAUGUGAAGAUGUGGGCUUAAAUUCCACUCUUAUAUAGAUGUCCUCUUCAGUAUAUCAGUCACCUAGUUGUUAUUUUUCUUAUUUCUGUAAUAUUUUAAUGAUUCUUUGUGCAUUACUUCUUUUUAAAUAAUCUUUGGUUUAUAUCACCACAAUGAAAGGUGGUUUGAAUUUUAAAAAA